rnacentral:rRNA from 1 species
GACGAACGCUGGCGGCGUGCUUAACGCAUGCAAGUCGAACGGAAAGGCCCUGCUUUUGUGGGGUGCUCGAGUGGCGAACGGGUGAGUAACACGUGAGUAACCUGCCCUUGACUUUGGGAUAACUUCAGGAAACUGGGGCUAAUACCGGAUAGGAGCUCCUGCUGCAUGGUGGGGGUUGGAAAGUUUCGGCGGUUGGGGAUGGACGCGCGGCUUAUCAGCUUGUUGGUGGGGUAGUGGCUUACCAAGGCUUUGACGGGUAGCCGGCCUGAGAGGGUGACCGGCCACAUUGGGACUGAGAUACGGCCCAGACUCCUACGGGAGGCAGCAGUGGGGAAUAUUGCACAAUGGGCGGAAGCCUGAGGCGGCAACGCCGCGUGCGGGAUGACGGCCUUCGGGUUGUAAACCGCUUUCGCCUGUGACGAAGCGUGAGUGACGGUAAUGGGUAAAGAAGCACCGGCUAACUACGUG